AAAGCCUCAGAUUAUAUAUUUAUUGUGAUUUUGUCAGUUGUAUAAUGUCUGAUGAUGUUUCAUUCAUUAUUUUAGUGCUUGGUACAGUCAGACAUGGAAACACUGAAGACCUUGGAGUGAAGGCCACUCUGACAGCAGACAGAUUAACCAUACCAGCAGGGGGCAGUGUGACACUGACCUGUGAUGUGAAGAACUCUGCUGACUUUCAAUAUGAGUGGUUCAGAGAACCCAGUUUUAACUCU